rnacentral:rRNA from 1 species
AUUGAACGCUGGCGGCAUGCUUUACACAUGCAAGUCGAACGGUAACAGGCCGCAAGGUGCUGACGAGUGGCGAACGGGUGAGUAAUGCAUCGGAACGUGCCCAGUCGUGGGGGAUAACGCAGCGAAAGCUGCGCUAAUACCGCAUACGAUCUAUGGAUGAAAGCGGGGGACCGUAAGGCCUCGCGCGAUUGGAGCGGCCGAUGUCAGAUUAGGUAGUUGGUGGGGUAAAGGAUCACCAAGCCAACGAUCUGUAGCUGGUCUGAGAGGACGACCAGCCACACUGGGACGGAGACACGGCCCAGACUCCUACGGGAGGCAGCAGUGGGGAAUUUUGGACAAUGGGCGCAAGCCUGAUCCAGCAAUGCCGCGUGCAGGAAGAAAGCCUUCGGGUUGUAAACUGCUUUUGUACGGAACGAAACGGCUCUGGUUAAUACCUGGGGCUAAUGACGGUACCGUAAGAAUAAGCACCGGCUAACUACGUGCCAGCCGCCGCCGUAACAC